CGCUCCGCUUUCUCCUCUGCGCCCCUUCCUCGCCCGCCCUCGCCUCCUCCCCCUGGCGAGGUUCUCUGAGGCGAAUGGCCGGGCGCGCGGUCACGGCCGAGCUCCUGCUGGGGGAGGGGAGACGCACCCGAGCUGGGUCCUUCCGCUCGCCCCCUGCCCCUCCCGCCGGACCCCGCGGACUACCCCGGGGACGACCCCGCGGCCCCGAGGCGGAACCCCGGACGCCGGGCCCAGCGCAGCCGUGCGCUGGGGGGAGCUGGGCCGCGCCCCCCGCCGCGGCCCCCGCUGACUCAGCGCGCAGCUAUGCGGGCCUCGCCUCACCCGCGCCCAAAUAAUAGCGACCGAGCUCGGCGCCCGCGAGGGGCCGCAGGGCCAGGGGUUUCGAGGCGAGCCUGAGAGGGGGCCCUGGGUGUCUGGGAUUCCGAAUGAGCGGAGGCGGGUGGAAUCCUAGUCCUGGGGCAGGAGGGCCUGGGAUCCUGAAGGCGUUUCUGCCCGGCGUAGACACUAACCACGUCGAGAGAACGGGAGAGCACCGGAAAAAGGCUUUCCAGCCGCAGGCCUUCGCGGGGUCUUCUCCUUUUGGGGGGCGGAAGAGGGGUGGUUAUCGGGGCCGUUCCUCCGCAUUCCUGCCCUCUCGGCGGCGGGUGCCAUCGCUUAGAUCCGCCCAGGGCGCAAUCCGAAAAUUAUGUGCCAAGAGCUAUAAAACCGUUCAUAGAGCCCCUUUGACCCAGUAAACCCAUUUAAGGAAGUACAUUUCCAAGGAAAUGAUCCAAAGGGCGAAGAAGGGGGAGAACUUGCAGAAAGAUGUUAACAGCGGGGCUAUUCACAAUGUUCGUGAUGACCAAAACCUGGGAAUGGGCCCAGUUGUCCAACAACUGAGUAACCCAAACAGGCGCCGUCACAGUAACAGCAAGAAUCCUGGCAGACCAGAAAAAGCCGUGGUACAGAAGAUUUUUACCCAAGACCUAUCCCAUCGUCUACCUGGAAGAAAAGAAAAUGAAUCUGUUGAUAUGAGUUAAACGUUUUUGCAGGAUGGGGUAAGGAGGAGGUGAUGUAAUAAGGACUCAUAUAUAUGCACAUGGAGUGAAUAAAUGAAUUAAGGAAUGGAUGGGUGAAAACAACGAACUGUGAAUGGUCCAGCCAUCACCAAUAAGACACGUAACAACUUUUCCCAUCUCGCUUCACGCUGCCAAGCAACGCAGGCUGGCAUUGUUGUAGUGAGUUGCUUCUGUUCCACACAAGCCAGGAUUUAAUAACAGAAUAAAGGAAUGAACUCGCAAUACAAA